CCUACACGACCGUACCGCAAACCGACACUGGUGCGCGAGAUGAGUAUUCUAAGGCGCUUGAGAGAACUCAGGAGAAGGAACUCGGCAAAUUGACACCGUAACUUCGGAAGAAGGUGUGCCUUUAGUAGGUGAACCUGUACAAGGGGAGCCCAAUGAGGUUGCAAAAAAUCGGUGGCUGCGACUGUUUAAUAAAAACACAGCACUCUGCAAAUACGAAAGUGGACGUAUAGGGUGUGACGCCUGCCCGGUGCUGGAAGAUUAAAUGAUGGGGUGCAAGCUCUUGAUUGAAGUCCCAGUAAACGGCGGCCGUAACUAUAACGGUCCUAAGGUAGCGAAAUUCCUUGUCGGGUAAGUUCCGACCUGCACGAAUGGCGUAACGAUGGCCACACUGUCUCCUCCUGAGACUCAGCGAAGUUGAAAUGUUUGUGAUGAUGCAAUCUCCCCGCGGAAAGACGGAAAGACCCCAUGAACCUUUACUGUAGCUUUGUAUUGGACUUUGAACAGAUCUGUGUAGGAUAGGUGGGAGGCUUUGAAGUGUGGUCGCUAGAUCGCAUGGAGCCAACGUUGAAAUACCACCCUGGUGUGUUUGAGGUUCUAACCUAGGCCCGUAAUCCGGGUCGGGGACAGUGCAUGGUAGGCAGUUUGACUGGGGCGGUCUCCUCCCAAAGCGUAACGGAGGAGUUCGAAGGUACGCUAGGUACGGUCGGACAUCGUGCUAAUAGUGCAAUGGCAUAAGCGUGCUUAACUGCGAGACUGACAAGUCGAGCAGAUGCGAAAGCAGGACAUAGUGAUCCGGUGGUUCUGUAUGGAAGGGCCAUCGCUCAACGGAUAAAAGGUACUCUGGGGAUAACAGGCUGAUACCGCCCAAGAGUUCAUAUCGACGGCGGUGUUUGGCACCUCGAUGUCGGCUCAUCUCAUCCUGGGGCUGUAGCCGGUCCCAAGGGUAUGGCUGUUCGCCAUUUAAAGAGGUACGUGAGCUGGGUUUAAAACGUCGUGAGACAGUUUGGUCCCUAUCUUCCGUGGGCGCUGCAGAUUUGAGGAAGCCUGCUCCUAGUACGAGAGGACCGGAGUGGACACACCUCUGGUGUAUCGGUUGUCACGCCAGUGGCAUUGCCGAGUAGCUAUGUGUGGAAGAGAUAACCGCUGAAAGCAUCUAAGCGGGAAACUCGUUUCAAGAUGAGAUCUGCCGGGGCCUUGAGCCCCCUAAAGAGUCGUUCAAGACCAGGACGUUGAUAGGUCGGGUGUGGAAGCGCAGUAAUGCGUUAAGCUAACCGAUACUAAUUGCUCGUGCGGCUUGACC
rnacentral:rRNA from 1 species